ensembl:lncRNA
CUGGAGAUCACUGUGUACCUGAAGCCUUCUGAAGCACCAUAGGAGUCCCCUCACAACGGUUUGUGCACGGAACCUCCUUCAGAGCUUCCCGGCAUCCCUUUUCAAGCGACUCACAGAGCCUGCAAAAGAGCCUCCCUUAGGCCUUUGGUCUUGUUUCACCAUCGUGGCACAAGCGUGACCCCAAAUGGAGGUCAUUAUUGCUAAUUACCGGAUCACUUAGCACGAACACAGGAGGUAUAACCGCACCGACGUUCGCACGGAGAUCUGGAGGCUGUGCUGACAGCACCCACCCAGCACAGCCCGGCAGUGACAGCCGCCAGCCUGCAGGCCCACCAGCAGGCCGAGCCGGGAAUUCCCUCAGCUCCGGCCACCCUGCUGCUGAAACAACGCCGUCUGCACGUUGUUAAUGUUGUUAAUCAGACCGGGACUGCGCCGGAGGAGUGGGCUGCAACGCCUGGGUGUGUGAAGGGGGGACAGACGGCUUCACAGCCACAGCUCUGUUACAAGCACUGGGAAAACUGUGCGAGCUUUCAUUCUCCAGCUGCAAAACCUGAACACUUGAGAGCUCUGCAAGGAGAAAUACACGCAAUUCUGACCGCAGCAGCGCCUGUGCCCCCUUAUCCCUGAUGGCUCGGGCUGUGUGAGGAAGAGCGGCCUCACCCCAGCCCCGCGUUGGCGCGAGCAGUCGUGGUGAGCGCAUCCCUCCCUGCUCUCCUGCACAGCUCCGGGUGCCCGAGGCACGCAGUGCUUGUGUCGGGCUCUGCAGAGGAGCGCAGCCAGUGGGAGCUCGUGCCUAUCGGGCUGCCGGGAGUAGCCGCACGGAGCGACGGAGACAACUUCAGGUACGGAACGUCGCGGCUCUUCCCAACGCUCCGGCCUCCGUCCGCCCUUCUCCGGGCACCCCGCAGCUCGCAGCCCUCCCCGAUUCCUCCCCGGCUCUUUUGUCUACGGCCGACCGAAGCCCAUCCCGUGCGGAUGCGGGAGGGCCGAGUCUCCCUCCCGUCCCGCGGAGCCUCCUUCCCACCGGGCCGCCCGCGGGCUCCUCCCCGCACGGGUGCAGCCGCGCCGCAGCGUCCCUCGGAGGAAGGGAAGCGAAGGGAGGCGCCGGCGGCCCCGCAGCCGCACGCCCC